rnacentral:rRNA from 1 species
UACGUAGGGUGCAAGCGUUGUCCGGAAUUAUUGGGCGUAAAGAGCGUGUAGGCGGCUGGGUAGGUCCGCUGUGAAAACUCGAGGCUUAACCUCGAGACGUCGGUGGAAACCAUCCAGCUAGAGUCCGGAAGAGGAGAGUGGAAUUCCUGGUGUAGCGGUGAAAUGCGCAGAUAUCAGGAAGAACACCCGUGGCGAAAGCGGCUCUCUGGGACGGUACUGACGCUGAGACGCGAAAGCGUGGGGAGCGAACAGG